rnacentral:rRNA from 1 species
AUCAAUAUGUUGGACCAGAAUGGAUCCUACAGUGCAACAGCACGGUCUUGCUGUCACUUAUAGAUGGACCCGAGCCGUAUUAGCUAGUUGGUACGGUCAACUGGCUUACCAAGGCAACCGAUACGUAGCCGACCUGAGCAGGGUGAUCGGCCAACACGUGGAAACUGGAGAACAACCGGUCCCAGAAUCCCUACCGGGAGGCAAGCAAUAGGAAUCUUCCGCAAUUGGGGCGAAGCCUGACCGGAGCAACGCCGCGUGAUGAUGAAGGCCCUUUCCGGGUCGUAAAACUCUGGUUAUUAGGGGAGAACAAAUGUGUAAGGUAACUAUGCACGUCUUGACGGGUACCUAAUCAGAAGCCACGGCUUAACUACCGUGCCAGCAGCCGCGGUAAUACGUAGGUGGCAAGCGUUAUCCGGAAUUAUUGGGCGUAAAGCGCGCGUAGCGGUUUCUUAAGUCUGAUUGUGAAAGCCCACGGCUCAACCGUGGAGGGUCAUUGGAAACUGGGAAACUUGAGUGCAGGAGAGGAAACGUGGAAUUCCAUGUGUACGGUGAAAUGCGCUAGAGAUAUGGAGGAACACCAGUGGCGAAGGCGACUUUCUGGUCUGCAUACUGACGCUGUAUGUGCGAAAGCGUGGGGAUCAAACAGGAUUAGAUACCUGGUAGUCCACGCCGUAAACGAUGAGUGCUAAAGUGUUAGGGGGGGUUUCCGCCCCUUAGUGCUGCAGCUAACGCAUUAAGCACUCCGCCUGG